rnacentral:rRNA from 1 species
UGGGGAAUAUUGCACAAUGGAGGGAACUCUGAUGCAGCGACGCCGCGUGAACGAAGAAGGCUUUCGAGUCGUAAAGUUCUUUUAUAUGGGAAGAUAAUGACGGUACCAUAAGAAAAAGCACCGGCUAACUACGUGCCAGCAGCCGCGGUAAUACGUAGGGGGCUAGCGUUGUCCGGAAUCACUGGGCGUAAAGGGUUCGCAGGCGGAAAUGCAAGUCAGGUGUAAAAGGCAGUAGCUUAACUACUGUAAGCAUUUGAAACUGCAUAUCUGGAGAAGAGUAGAGGUAAGUGGAAUUUUUAGUGUAGCGGUGAAAUGCGUAGAUAUUAAAAAGAAUACCGGUGGCGAAGGCGACUUACUGGGCUCAUUCUGACGCUGAGGAACGAAAGCGUGGGUAGCAAACAGG